UAAUACGGAGGGGGCUAGCGUUGUUCGGAAUUACUGGGCGUAAAGCGCGCGUAGGCGGCUUUGCAAGUUAGAGGUGAAAGCCCAGGGCUCAACCCUGGAACUGCCUUUAAAACUGCAUCGCUAGAACGUCGGAGAGGUAAGUGGAAUUCCGAGUGUAGAGGUGAAAUUCGUAGAUAUUCGGAAGAACACCAGUGGCGAAGGCGACUUACUGGACGACUGUUGACGCUGAGGUGCGAAAGCGUGGGGAGCAAACAGG
rnacentral:rRNA from 1 species